rnacentral:rRNA from 1 species
CUAUAAUGCAAGUCGGACGGGAUCCAUCGGUAGCUUGCUACCGAUGGUGAGAGUGGCGCACGGGUGCGUAACGCGUGAGCAACCUGCCCAUAUCAGGGGGAUAGCCCGGAGAAAUCCGGAUUAACACCGCAUGCAACCGGAGGAUGGCAUCAUCUUCCGGUUAAAUAUUCAUAGGAUAUGGAUGGGCUCGCGUGACAUUAGCUAGUUGGUGGGGUAACGGCCCACCAAGGCGACGAUGUCUAGGGGCUCUGAGAGGAGAAUCCCCCACACUGGUACUGAGACACGGACCAGACUCCUACGGGAGGCAGCAGUAAGGAAUAUUGGUCAAUGGGGGCAACCCUGAACCAGCCAUGCCGCGUGCAGGACGACUGCCCUAUGGGUUGUAAACUGCUUUUGUUAGGGAAUAAACCCCACUACGUGUAGUGGGCUGAAUGUACCUAAAGAAUAAGGAUCGGCUAACUCCGUGCCAGCAGCCGCGGUAAUACGGAGGAUCCGAGCGUUAUCCGGAUUUAUUGGGUUUAAAGGGUGCGUAGGCGGCACUUUAAGUCAGGGGUGAAAGACGGCAGCUCAACUGUCGCAGUGCCCUUGAUACUGAAGUGCUUGAAUGCGGUUGAAGACGGCGGAAUGAGACAAGUAGCGGUGAAAUGCAUAGAUAUGUCUCAGAACACCGAUUGCGAAGGCAGCUGUCUAAGCCGUUAUUGACGCUGAUGCACGAAAGCGUGGGGAUCGAACAGGAUUAGAUACCCUGGUAGUCCACGCCCUAAACGAUGAUGACUCGAUGUUUGCGAUAUACCGUAAGCGUCCAAGCGAAAGCGUUAAGUCAUCCACCUGGGGAGUACGCCCGCAAGGGUGAAACUCAAAGGAAUUGACGGGGCCCGCAC